GACGAACGCUGGCGGCGUGCCUGAUACAUGCAAGUCGAACGCUUCUUUCCUCCCGAGUGCUUGCACUCAAUUGGAAAGAGGAGUGGCGGACGGGUGAGUAACACGUGGGUAACCUACCCAUCAGAGGGGGAUAACACUUGGAAACAGGUGCUAAUACCGCAUAACAGUUUAUGCCGCAUGGCAUAAGAGUGAAAGGCGCUUUCGGGUGUCGCUGAUGGAUGGACCCGCGGUGCAUUAGCUAGUUGGUGAGGUAACGGCCCACCAAGGCGACGAUACAUAGCCGGCCUGAGAGGGUGAUCAGCCACACUGGGACUGAGACACGGCCCAG
rnacentral:rRNA from 1 species